GACGAACGCUGGCGGCGUGCCUAAUACAUGCAAGUAGAACGCACAGUUUAUACCGUAGCUUGCUACACCAUACACUGUGAGUUGCGAACGGGUGAGUAACGCGUAGGUAACCUGCCUGGUAGCGGGGGAUAACUAUUGGAAACGAUAGCUAAUACCGCAUAAUAUUGAUUAUUGCAUGAUAAUUGAUUGAAAGAUGCUAUUGCAUCACUACCAGAUGGACCUGCGUUGUAUUAGCUAGUAGGUGAGGUAACGGCUCACCUAGGCGACGAUACAUAGCCGACCUGAGAGGGUGAUCGGCCACACUGGGACUGAGACACGGCCCAGACUCCUACGGGAGGCAGCAGUAGGGAAUCUUCGGCAAUGGACGAAAGUCUGACCGAGCAACGCCGCGUGAGGGAAGAAGGGUUUCGGAUCGUAAAGCUCUGUUGUAAGAGAAGAACGGGUGUGAGAGUGGAAAGUUCACACUGUGACGGCAUCUUACCAGAAAGGGACGGCUAACUACGUG
rnacentral:rRNA from 1 species